AGACAGACAAUUCUCCCCCAUCCGUCUUCUGGAUACUUUCUUUCAACUCCACUUACUCCAACUAUAGUACCCAUUUAGCAAAACCCCCAGAGACCACUGAGGAGCUGGUUUCCGAUGCAAGCACAUAAGGGUCCUUUUAUUCAGGUUCAACCUGGGCCACCGCAGGGCAGAUGGAAGGAAAUGUGGUGGUGGCCACAAACCCAGUACUGGGGAUGAAUGCAAGGACUUGUUCAUACAAACUAAGUGACCAACAGAACUUUGGCUCUGCUUUCUUUCUGCUUUACUAUAAAGGUAAAGCAUAUCCAGAGGAGUAAAGAAGAAACUGCUGCUGACUCUGACAUGUCUGCCCCACUGCUUCAGUUCUUGGAGACCUGCAUCCCUCACAUAGAUUAACUGAAGAUUAUUCAUCACAGCCUCUCAUUUCAUCCAUCAGUACCUUCAUUUAUCUCUAGAUGAUAACUGUUUCCUUUUUAAAUCAACACACCUUAAGAAAUUAACCAGAACUACUACUUUCAACCAAAAUCCAGUUUCAACCAAAACAACAAAGAAACAAAACAAACAAACAAACAAAAAACAAGAUCUGGUAUGAAUAAAAAGCUACGAUUGUC